GACGUAGGGCGCGAGCGUUGUCCGGAUUUAUUGGGCGUAAAGAGCUCGUAGGCGGCUUGUCGCGUCGUUCGUGAAAUUCCACGGCUCAACUGUGGGCUUGCGGGCGAUACGGGCAGGCUGGAGUUCGGUGAGGGGAGACUGGAAUUCCUGGUGUAGCGGUGAAAUGCGCAGAUAUCAGGAGGAACACCUGCGGUGUAGACGGCUUUCUGGACCAUUACUGACACUGAGACACGAAAGCGUGGGUAGCAAACAGGG
rnacentral:rRNA from 1 species